rnacentral:rRNA from 1 species
UACGGGAGGCAGCAGUGGGGAAUAUUGGACAAUGGGCGCAAGCCUGAUCCAGCCAUGCCGCGUGAGUGAUGAAGGCCCUAGGGUUGUAAAGCUCUUUUGUGCGGGAAGAUAAUGACGGUACCGCAAGAAUAAGCCCCGGCUAACUUCGUGCCAGCAGCCGCGGUAAUACGAAGGGGCUAGCGUUGCUCGGAAUCACUGGGCGUAAAGGGUGCGUAGGCGGGUCUUUAAGUCAGGGGUGAAAUCCUGGAGCUCAACUCCAGAACUGCCUUUUGAUACUGAAGAUCUUGAGUUCGGGAGAGGUGAGUGGAACUGCGAGUGUAGAGGUGAAAUUCGUAGAUAUUCGCAAGAACACCAGUGGCGAAGGCGGCUCACUGGCCCGAUACUGACGCUGAGGCACGAAAGCGUGGGGAGCAAACAGGGAUUAGAUA